UGAGGAAUAUUGGUCAAUGGGCGAGAGCCUGAACCAGCCAAGUAGCGUGCAGGAAGACGGCCCUAUGGGUUGUAAACUGCUUUUAUGCGGGGAUAAAGUGAGGGACGUGUCCUUCAUUGCAGGUACCGCAUGAAUAAGGACCGGCUAAUUCCGUGCCAGCAGCCGCGGUAAUACGGAAGGUCCGGGCGUUAUCCGGAUUUAUUGGGUUUAAAGGGAGCGUAGGCCGUGGAUUAAGCGUGUUGUGAAAUGCAGGUGCUCAACGUCUGCACUGCAGCGCGAACUGGUUCACUUGAGUGUGCACAACGCAGGCGGAAUUCGUCGUGUAGCGGUGAAAUGCUUAGAUAUGACGAAGAACUCCGAUUGCGAAGGCAGCUUGCGGGAGCACAACUGACGCUGAAGCUCGAAAGUGCGGGUAUCGAACAGGAUUAGAUACCCUGGUAGUCCGCACGGUAAACGAUGGAUGCCCGUUGUCAGGCUGUUUCAGUCUGGUGACCAAGCGAAAGCAUUAAGCAUCCCACCUGGGGAGUACGCCGGCAACGGUG
rnacentral:rRNA from 1 species